rnacentral:rRNA from 1 species
UGGGGAAUCGUGCGCAAUGGACGAAAGUCUGACGCCGCGACGCCGCGUGAAGGAAGAAGCUUUUCGGAGUGUAAACUUCUUUUCCAUAGGACGAUUAUGACGGUACUAUGGGAAUAAGCCACGGCUAACUUCGUG